CUCACAUCAUGCACCGUCUAGCAAUGAAGGAAUUGCAUCGAACGAGACAACGUCGCACGAUGCAGUGGGCCAAGCACGCGGAUGCUGCUUAAACAGUUGUGAUGGUCAUCCUCGCUACAAAUCGAUAUACGUACGCCCAUUGUCCACCGUGCUGGUGCCUUAUGUGUGAUGGUCGUCCUCGAGCAGAUCAUUUUGUUAUAGCGUCCCCAGGAACAUGGCACACUCUUCGUAGUCAUGCUGCACUGCACAAUACCCCGCUUGCGCCCUGAGUCGUGCUCCUGAAAUUUCUACUGUGCGACACAUUGUUGAAAGAAGUACACAAGACUCUACUG